UGGUUAUUUGAUCAAGAUGAAUCAAAUGGGUUUUUUAACGAGGAAUUGAUGAGGUUCAGAAUACAUAAUAAUAAAUUAAAAGAUUUACAACAAAGUAUUAUAUUUUAUUACUAUAAAAAUAUCCAUUUAUUUUUUUCAAUCUAGACAACGUUGGAAGUUAACUAAUAAUGCAAGUUUCACUCCCUGAUCACUACUCAAUUUGUUUAUAUAUACAAGUUUUCUAUUCACACAUGGAUGCAUAUUCCCUGCAUCUUUUUUCCAAUUUCUCUCACAAAAAUGUCUCAGGGAGGAGUGCGCCGCCACCAAAGGAGGCUAUCUCAGUCGGUUUUCGACUUCCCGGACGAUGUUCUUCAACCACCUCCCGUGGCGGACAAUGACAGUUUCGACAAGGAAUUGAGGAAUGCAAACUCGGCGUCUAAGGUACCAGAACAACAACAUAGUACACGUCCAACCUUAGACGCUUCCACACAUUUGAAAGAGAAAGGUGUAGCUUCUUCCUUACCCCCAACGUCACAAAAGAAGUCGUAACGCUAGCUGGAAAAUACAUGCUAGUUAGCUUAAGUUGGGAAAUUAAGUGUGUAACAAAUGGUUCUCUUUCUCUAGCUUCUUGUUACAUUUAUUUCGUGUUGCAGUGUCAUGUUAAUUUCUAGUUCGAUGAUGUGAAAUAAAGUAUCGUAUUGGCAACCACAA